GACCCUUUUAACUGAAAAAGUUAAUCAUUUAACAACAUAUAGUGACUCUUUUAACAGCAUAAAGUCACCCUUUUAACAUCAUAAAGUGAACAUUGUCAAAACAUAUAAAUGACACACAUGUCUAUUACUCAAACACAAUGAGCAAUGCAUAUAUGCAUGUUAAUCAAACACAGAUGCACAAACACAAUGCGAAUAUGCCUAUUAUACACAUAAUCUAACUAAAACGUAAAACCUAAACAAAUAAUCAGUUUAAUUAGCAUUCUCUGACUAAAACCUAACAUACAAAAUUUGAAGAAUAAUAAGCAAAAUUUUGAAUCAAUUAUAUACAAUGAACAAUAAAAUAAAGCAAAAUUAAACAUAAUAACUUCAUAAUUCAAAUUCAAUUAUCAUAAUAUGCAUAAAAAAUCAACUGAAAACUAUAAAAAAUAACAUGCACUAGUAAUUCGACAUAUAUAAGCGAAAUUUCAAUUGAAAAAUUUGAAAAAAUGAUGAAAAAUUUAAGUAAACACACCUUCUUCAGCAUCUACAACCUUCUUUGUAAUCUUCUUCUUCACCAUUGCAGAAUCAACACUACGAAAAUCGAAAACAAAAUCAAAAUCAAAAAACCUAAAAAUCGAAGAAUCAAAACAGUUUAAACUAACAAAAAUCUCAAAAAAAUAAGUAAAUGAACCUGAAUUAAGCAAAUAACAACUUCACCAGUGAAAAAGAAGAAAGAAAAAGCUCGAAAAUCAACAAUGGAGGACAGAGAAAACGCUCGAAAUCGCCAGUUACUUGCUUUUUAGAGAGAGAAAAACGAAGAGAGAGAAAGCUAUAGUGAAUGAAUGAAGAGAGAAAAGUUCUAUUUCUUUCUUUAUUUUGGCAAUCAUUAAGAAGCACGUACCAAACCCACUAAAUUAGCAGUUGAUGCUUGUCCAAAAAUUCCGCCAUUCAUUAAAUUAAUGAACACCGGUUUUUUUUAAAAAAUUGUGAAACUACUAUCUUCUUUUUUCCUUCAUUAGAUCUGAGUUCUUAACAUAGAUUCACGGAGUCAUGGCCUAGAGUUUGAAUUCAGAUCCUCUUUCUUCUUGCGUUUAAUCUAACACAGUAAUUUAUAUAUCAUGGCGAAAAUUAUUGUCUUUAUAUCAAAUCUGAUGGUUUGCAUUGAAAUUCGAUUAGCGAUAGCCAUUGCUCUUGUUCUCCUCACAGAGUUAUUGGUUGGACGAAAGCAGAGUUUGGACCUCGAACAGAAGAAAAAGAAGGGGUUUUUUAAACCAAAGAUCACCUUCUCAUUAUAUUCCAUGAAAAUGGUUGGCAGUAGAAUCGCCGAGUCUCUAACAGCAAGGGCGAAUAUUACUGAAUAAAUGUAUUUUUUUUAUUUGCAGUUUAUAAAAUUGAUAUGAUUUUUUUUUUUUCUUUUUUGUUGCUUUGAUGUGAUUUGUUAUGGGUGAUUUCUCAACUUAUAAGGCUAUAAGCUGAGAUGAAUUCAUUUUUCUAGGUAAGAAGAGUUCUUGAUGUUAUUUGUUUUUUUCAAUUACAUUUCAAAUAUAGAGUUAGUUUCUAAAAUACUCAGCUUCAUAAUUUUAAUUUUAUUGAUUUGCAUUAAUUUUGUUCAAAUAUUUCUUUUGUUUUAACCGAAUCAACAGUUCAUAUAGCAGUUACCUCUGUUGUUGUGGUGCCUAGUUCACAAAACAUGCCUUUUGUGCAUAAUAAUUGAAUAAGUGGCCUCAGUUCUUUACCACUAGUUUGUAAGUUUAAUUUGUUCGGUAGAAAUGUUCUCAUGAAAGACCAAUUUGCAACUACAUACUAACAACCAAUUAAUAAGCUCAGAGAGAUUAUCUUUGCAGACAUACACACCAUAAUUAAAUAAGGCUCCCUUUUUUCAGUCCGUUGAUGUUGUGUAUGUGUCUAUGAUAUGUGUGCAGCAUGACGCUGUCAUUCUCAAGUGUAUAUAUAUUGCAUAUCAUGAUUUGUUGACAACGAUUGGUUAUGACUUAAGAAUCAGGAGGGGGGAAUAAUUAAGAUCUUGCUUUUCUAAAUAAUCUAUUUCCUCAAAAGUUAUCGAUGCUUGACAUUAAUGAACUUUUAUGUCUGUUUUUUCAAAUAAUCUUUUGCUGCUAGGUGGAUACAGAUCAAGUAACAAUGCUUGACAAGGUUCUCAAUCUGAAGGAUAUUCGUCAAAAACAACUAUUUUUGUUGGAGGGCUUGAUCCUAGUGUCACAAACGAGGAUCUUAGGCAACCUUUCUCCCAAUAUGGGGAGACAUUUUAUGUUAAAAUUCAUGUUGGGAAAGGAUGCGGAUUUGUGCAAUUUGCAAACAGAGGUCAUGCUUAAGAGGCUUUGAAUAAGCUGAACGGGUCAGUUAUAGGAAAGUAAAUUGUCCGUCUUUCAUGGGGCCGCAACCCUACAAACAAACAGUCAAGAGGUGAUUAUGGAAAUCUGUGGAAUGGAGGCUACUACAGAGGACACAUAUAUGAUGGUGGUUACAGAUACGUACUACACCCAAGCAUGUAUGCAGCAGUGGCAACAGCUUACGGAGCCUACCUUGUGUACGGCAAUCAGCAACACGUAAGCUGAUGACCAAGACACGAAAAUAAGAAGUAGCGCGCAUGAGGAUAAGCCUCAAGAUUAUCGAUAAGCGAUUCGUAUCGCACUACCUAGGCAUAUUGUUUCAUUCUUUGUAGUGUGAGCUUGUUGUGUAGAAAUAUUUAUGAACCCCUCCCCCUCCUAAUGUGGAAUGGAACUGAAUUUUGAUAAUUCCCAAGGUAGUUUUUCAUACUAAGUUGCUUUUUUUUUUUUUUUUUCCUAUUAUUCAUAUUAGACAUUCAUUGAGGACAAGUUAAGAAUGAUAUGGGGAACUUUCUCCUUAGAAUAUAUGAUGCUUGCAUAUCAUUAUAUGUUUGUUGGCUACUAUACUACUGGUCUAUUGCAAUUUACAGCUGUUUGAUGUUGUUGCAGCUGUAGAUUUGUAUGAGGUUUUUUUAACUUGGUGUCAAAGAUUAAAAAUUGUUCAGCGCAACCCUGAUGGAUCGUUUGAUGCUGAAUUAGAGAUUGGUUUUAAAUUUCUGGUUGAGAGUUACAUUUCACAUGUGGUUUAAGACAAGCCAAAGUUUAUUAAGAUUGGAAAAGGCAAUGAAGGUGCAACAAGAGAAUAGGCCGGGACACUUGAGCAUCAAAACAAACGACUAUAUCGUCUAUUAGGCCAUCAUCUAUGUAUUUUGGUUUUUAGUCUUAUAUUAGUGAUGUAUUUAUUUAGGGACAAGCUACUAUAUAUAAUAUGCGACAUUUUUUUUUUA